rnacentral:rRNA from 1 species
GCGGCCUAUCAGCUUGUUGGUGAGGUAAUGGCUCACCAAGGCGACGACGGGUAGCCGGCCUGAGAGGGCGACCGGCCACACUGGGACUGAGACACGGCCCAGACUCCUACGGGAGGCAGCAGUGGGGAAUAUUGGGCAAUGGAGGAAACUCUGACCCAGCGACGCCGCGUGCGGGAUGAAGGCCUUCGGGUUGUAAACCGCUUUCAGCAGGGAAUAAGCGCAAGUGAAGGUACCUGCAGAAGAAGCACCGGCUAACUAUGUGCCAGCAGCCGCGGUAAUACAUAGGGUGCAAGCGUUGUCCGGAAUUAUUGGGCGUAAAGAGCUCGUAGGUGGUUUGUUACGUCGGUUGUGAAAUUCAGGGGCUCAACCCCUGACUUGCAGCCGAUACGGGCAAGCUAGAGUUUGGUAGGGGAGACUGGAAUUCCU